GAUGAACGCUGGCGGCGUGCCUAAUACAUGCAAGUCGAGCGAAUGGAUUAAGAGCUUGCUCUUAUGAAGUUAGCGGCGGACGGGUGAGUAACACGUGGGUAACCUGCCCAUAAGACUGGGAUAACUCCGGGAAACCGGGGCUAAUACCGGAUAAUAUUUUGAACUGCAUGGUUCAAAAUUGAAAGGCGGCCUCGGCUGUUACUUAUGGAUGGACCCGCGUCGCAUUAGCUAGUUGGUGAGGUAACGGCUCACCAAGGCAACGAUGCGUAGCCGACCUGAGAGGGUGAUCGGCCACACGGGGACUGAGACUAGGCCCAGACGGCUACGAGAGGCAGCAGUAGGGAAUCUUCCGGAAUGGACGAAAGUCUGACGGAGCAACGCCGCGUGAGAGAUGAAGGCUUUCGGGUCGUAAAACGCUGUUGUUAGGGAAGAACAAGUGCUAGUUGAAUAAGCUGGCACCUUGACGGUACCUAACCAGAAAGCCACGGCUAGCUACGUGCCAGCAGCCGCCGCAG
rnacentral:rRNA from 1 species